AUUGAACGCUGGCGGCAUGCUUUACACAUGCAAGUCGAACGGUAACAGGCCGCAAGGUGCUGACGAGUGGCGAACGGGUGAGUAAUGCAUCGGAACGUGCCCAGUCGUGGGGGAUAACGCAGCGAAAGCUGUGCUAAUACCGCAUACGAUCUAUGGAUGAAAGCGGGGGACCGUAAGGCCUCGCGCGAUUGGAGCGGCCGAUGUCAGAUUAGGUAGUUGGUGGGGUAAAGGCCUACCAAGCCGACGAUCUGUAGCUGGUCUGAGAGGACGCCCAGCCACACUGGGACUGAGACACGGCCCAGACUCCUACGGGAGGCAGCGGUGGGGAAUUUUGGACAAUGGGCGCAAGCCUGUUCCAGCAAUGCCGCGUGCAGGAAGAAGGCCUUCGGGUUGUAAACUGCUUUUGUACGGAACGAAACGGUCUGGGUUAAUACCCUGGGCUAAUGACGGUACCGUAAGAAUAAGCACCGGCUAACUACGUGCCAGCCGCCGCCGUAAAAC
rnacentral:rRNA from 1 species